GACGAACGCUGGCGGCGUGCUUAACACAUGCAAGUCGAACGGAAAGGCCCUGCUUUUGUGGGGUGCUCGAGUGGCGAACGGGUGAGGAACACGUGAGUAACCUGCCCUUGACUUUGGGAUAACUUCAGGAAACUGGGGCUAAUACCGGAUAGGAGCUCCUGCUGCAUGGUGGGGGUUGGAAAGUUUCGGCGGUUGGGGAUGGACUCGCGGCUUAUCAGCUUGUUGGUGGGGUAGUGGCUUACCAAGGCUUUGACGGGUAGCCGGCCUGAGAGGGUGACCGGCCACAUUGGGACUGAGAUACGGACCAGACUCCUACGGGAGGCAGCAGUGGGGAAUAUUGCACAAUGGGCGGAAGCCUGAUGCAGCAACGCCGCGUGCGGGAUGACGGCCUUCGGGUUGUAAACCGCUUUCGCCUGUGACGAAGCGUGAGUGACGGUAAUGGGUAAAGAAGCACCGGCUAACUACGUG
rnacentral:rRNA from 1 species